CGUGCUUUAGACAUKCAAGUCGAACGAGAAAGCCCUUCGGGGUUAGUAAAGUGGCGAACGGGUGAGUAACACGUGGGCAAUCUGCCCUUCGUAGGGGGACAACCGGGGGAAACCCCGGCUAAUACCCCGUAAGCUUGUCGGGUCGCAUGGCCUGACAAGGAGAGGUAGCUUCGGCCAUCCGGCGAAGGAGGAGCCCCGCGGUUCAUUAGCUAGUUGGUGAGGUAACGGCUCACCAAGGCUACGAUGUAUAGCUGGUCUGAGAGGAUGAUCAGCCACACUGGGACUGAGACACGGCCCAGACUCCUACGGGAGGCAGCAGUCGGGAAUCUUGCACAAUGGGCGAAAGCCUGAUGCAGCAACGCCGUGUGAGCGACGAAGGCCCUAGGGUCGUAAAGCUCUGUUGUUAGGGACGAAGGGCGAAGGGUUAAUAGCCCUUAGCCUGACGGUACCUUUCGAGGAAGCCCCGGCUAACUACGUGCCAGCAGCCGCGGUAAUACGUAGGGGGCGAGCGUUGUCCGGAAUUAUUGGGCGUAAAGGGCGCGUAGGCGGCCUGGUAAGUCUGCUGUGAAACCUUGGGGCUCAACCCCAAGCGUGCAGUGGAUACUGUCAGGCUAGAGGAUGGUAGAGGCCAGUGGAAUUCCCGGUGUAGCGGUGAAAUGCGCAGAUAUCGGGAGGAACACCAGUAGCGAAGGCGGCUGGCUGGGCCAUUCCUGACGCUGAGGCGCGAAAGCUAGGGGAGCGAACAGGAUUAGAUACCCUGGUAGUCCUAGCCGUAAACGAUGAACACUAGGUGUGGGGGGGAGUCGAAUCCCUCCGUGCCGAAGCCAACGCGUUAA
rnacentral:rRNA from 1 species